rnacentral:misc_RNA from 1 species
CAAUAAGGGUUUUUGAGGGGGUUUCAAUUGCAUCGUCACUUUCAUCAGUUAGGUUUUUCAUUUGCAGAGCCAGAUUCUUCAUUACACAGUGAAAUCAAGAUGAUGCGAUUAACAGAAAUUGCAAAAUCCAAACCCUUGACCUCAUCAAUCGAAACCCUAGGACACCAAUUCAUACAGAAAUGCUUCGUCAGUCGAACAGCAAAGGGAAAAGGUAAACUGAAAACAGGGCAGCCAUUGAAAAGAUCAAAAGUUACAACGAGGAAAGGCGCAGAAGUUGCGAAAAAAGAACCACCAAGGAGGAAAAGCGAAUUCGACGAAAUGGUUGAAGAUUGUUUGUCUUCUACAGCUCCAGUUAGAUCAUUGAAACCCAAAGAAAAAGCACGAGAAGCUGAAAGGGAGAGAAUGGGCUUAAUUAGCAAAGCCAAAGAUGAAGAGAUGAGAAAGAUAAACAAGGUGAAGAAGGAGUUUGCGAAUCCAUGGCCAAUUGGUCCACCGGGUUUGGAUUUGAUUUCACUUGGGCUUGUUGAUGUAGAGAAGCUUCCUAAGUAUGAAUUGACUGUUGAAGAUGGAAGGAGGCUGGCAAAGGAGAAUAGUAGGGUUUUAAUGCGCAAGCAUAGGCAGAGGCAGGCUGCUGAAACUACAUUGUUGAGGUUGAAGAAAGAGGCGAUUGAGGCAUUACCGGAGAAUUUGAAAGCUGCUGCAUUGGUUCCUGAUAUGACACCAUUUCCUGUGAAUCGAUUUAUGGCUACGUUGACGCCACCUAUUGAAGGUUAUCUUGAGAAGGUUAUGGAGGCAGCUAAGAAGAGUUCUGCAAAGGAGAAGCUUAGAUGAUUGGAGGAUGCAGUUGAAAGUUUUUCACAGAGAUAGCAAGGUUUGCUGGUGAUAUUGUGGCAUUAGGAAUCCAUUAUUUAGCAGCAAGAUGACACUGGAAAAGAAGAACUUGAAUAAGCCUUGUAACAAUUCACUUUGUUUUGGUUAAACUGGCUUUUUUUGCUUUUGUGGUAUGCCAUUUGUCGUUAUGCCACUAUAUGCUUAGUGUUCCUUUCACUAGGUUUGUGUUGG